GCUGGAUCCGGUCUCGGAGCGGCCGUCGAGGGGGUUCAGCCGCGGGCGAUCGACGACCACACCUCGGCUCGAAGAGACUGCCGCUGCCGCUGCCGCUGUUCGAACAGGUCCAGCAGUACCGGCCGCUGCUGCUUGCCCUCCCGCCUCCACAAAGGUACCGGUGGAAACGGCUCUCGAGCGUGUAGAAGUUGGGAGUCGGUACAAUCAAAACCCCACCGAUAAAAAACCUAGGCGACGACGGCACGCGGCACGCAGACCUAGUCCGCGUCCAGCGGCGGUAUCCUCUCGUCCCACCGCACCAGAAACACCACCCGUACCUCGUUCCCUCCUACUCCGCGACCAUACUCCUUUCCUCGUCCUUCCAGCCUCAAGGUCCGCCACGACCGGCAGCAGUGUACAGGGGUCAGAUCUAGAUUCUUUUUUCUCUUCCCCUACUUAGACCUCCUUCUCGAACCACUUCUUGUUCCACAAGCAUUACCGUUGCCACCAUUAGUUGCUACUCUUUUUUCCUGGCUCUAACAUAAACAUGAUCGUCCACUACGGAAUUAAAUCAAGUACCGUAAUACCGCCCUACGUACACCAUUUACCAAUGUUACCACCGAGUACCUCAAUUUUAAAACACAAGACAUGUCUAAACUCUACUAUCUUUAAGUUUUAUCCAUUGGUUAUUCGGUACAAAAAC
rnacentral:rRNA from 1 species